UACGGGGGGGGCAAGCGUUGUUCGGAAUUACUGGGCGUAAAGCGCACGUAGGCGGCUUUGUAAGUUAGAGGUGAAAGCCCAGGGCUCAACCCUGGAAUUGCCUUUGAUACUGACUGUCUUGAGUACGGGAGAGGUGUGUGGAACUCCGAGUGUAGAGGUGAAAUUCGUAGAUAUUCGGAAGAACACCAGUGGCGAAGGCGACACACUGGCCCGUUACUGACGCUGAGGCGCGAAAGCGUGGGGAGCAAACAGG
rnacentral:rRNA from 1 species